UGCAGCCUCGUCAAAUUCAGUAUUGCCCUCUUACUGGCACCUACUGGCCCAAAUGGCUGCCACAUCACAUUGUAGAUCAUGGGCCCCGAUUUCUCUCCGUGGAAUCUGGGGAUAAAAUGGUUCUCCGGACACGU